rnacentral:rRNA from 1 species
CCCUUAGAUGUCCGGGGCUGCACGCGCGCUACACUGAAGGAAUCAGCGUGCUAAAACCAUUGUCGAAAGGCAUUGGUAAACCCAUUAAAAUCCUACGUGAUUGGGAUCGGGAAUUGCAAUUAUUUCCCUUGAACGAGGAAUUCCCAGUAAGUGUGGGUCAUAAGCUCGCGUUGAUUACGUCCCUGCCCUUUGUACACACCGCCCGUCGCUGCCCGGGACUGAGCCGUUUCGAGAAAAGCGGGGACUGCUGCUGUCGGGGCUUUCGGGCCUUGGCUUCGGUGGAAACCGCUUUAAUCGCAGUGGCUUGAACCGGGCAAAAGUCUUAACA